GACAGAGGGUGCAAACGUUGUUCGGAAUUACUGGGCGCAAAGCGCGUGUAGGCGGCUAAGCAAGUCGGGCGUGAAAUCCCACCGCUCAACGGUGGAAGUGCACCCGAAACUGCAUAGCUAGAGUCCUGGAGAGGAAGGUGGAAUGCUUGGUGUAGAGGUGAAAUUCGUAGAUAUCAAGCGGAACACCGGUGGCGAAGGCGGCCUUCUGGACAGUGACUGACGCUGAGACGCGAAAGCGUGGGGAGCAAACAGG
rnacentral:rRNA from 1 species